rnacentral:rRNA from 1 species
UCGUAGUCCAUGCCGUAAACGAUGUGUGUUAGACGUUGGAAAUUUAUUUUCAGUGUCGCAGCGAAAGCGAUAAACACACCGCCUGGGGAGUACGACCGCAAGGUUAAAACUCAAAUGAAUUGACGGGGACCCGCACAAGUAGUGGAGCAUGUGGUUUAAUUCGAAGAUACGCGCAGAACCUUACCAACACUUGACAUGUUCGUCGCGACUUUAAGAGAUUAAAGUUUCGGUUCGGCCGGACGAAACACAGGUGCUGCAUGGCUGUCGUCAGCUCGUGUCGUGAGAUGUUGGGUUAAGUCCCGCAACGAGCGCAACCCUCACUUUUAGUUGCCAUCAUUAAGUUGGGCACUCUGAAAGAACUGCCAGUGAUAAGCUGGAGGAAGGUGGGGAUGACGUCAAGUCCUCAUGGCCCUUACGUGUUGGGCUACACACGUGCUACAAUGGUAUCUACAACAGGAAGCAAAACGGCGACGUUAAGCAAAUCCUCAAAAGAUACCUCAGUUCGGAUUGCACUCUGCAACUCGAGUGCAUGAAGCUGGAAUUACUAGUAAUCGUGGAUCAGCGUGCCACGGUGAAUGCGUUCCCGGGUCUU